GCCAGUUUGGCUCAGUAGAUAGAGCAUCAGCCUGCAAGCUGAAGGGUCUCGGGUUCAAUUCCAGUCAAGGGCA
rfam:Myotis brandtii contig217495, whole genome shotgun sequence.